rnacentral:rRNA from 1 species
GACGUAGGGCGCGAGCGUUGUCCGGAAUUACUGGGCGUAAAGCGCGUGUAGGCUGCUUGGAAAGUCGGAUGUGAAAGCCCUGGGCUCAACCUAGGAAGUGCAUUCGAAACUUCUGAGCUUGAGUGUCGGAGAGGAAGGCGGAAUUCUCGGUGUAGAGGUGAAAUUCGUAGAUAUCGAGAGGAACACCGGUGGCGAAGGCGGAUCUCUGGGCCGUAACUGACGCUGAGGAGCGAAAGCAUGGGUAGCGAACAGG